CUUUACUGUAGCUUGGUAUUGGGUUCGGGCUUUGAUUGCGCAGGAUAGGUGGGAGGCUUAGAAGGUGUCCUUGUGGGGAUGCUGGAGCCACUGGUGAGAUACCACUCUAUCAAGGCUAGAAUUCUAACCAAUAGCCGUUAUCCGGCAUUGGGACAGUAUCAGGUGGGCAGUUUGACUGGGGCGGUCGCCUCCUAAAUGAUAACGGAGGCGCGCAAAGGUUCUCUCAGGCUGGUUGGAAAUCAGCCGUAGAGUGUAAAGGCAUAAGAGAGCUUGAUUGCGAGACGAACAUGUCGAGCAAGGACGAAAGUCGGCCUUAGUGAUCCGACGGCACUGAGUGGAAGGGCCGUCGCUCAACGGAUAAAAGUUA
rnacentral:rRNA from 1 species